UGGGGAAUAUUGGACAAUGGGCGAAGGCCUGAUCCAGCAAUGCCGCGUGAGUGAUGAAGGCCUUAGGGUUGUAAAGCUCUUUUACCAGGGAUGAUAAUGACAGUACCUGGAGAAUAAGCUCCGGCUAACUCCGUGCCAGCAGCCGCGGUAAUACGGAGGGAGCUAGCGUUGUUCGGAAUUACUGGGCGUAAAGCGUACGUAGGCGGUGACUCAAGUCAGAGGUGAAAGCCUGGAGCUCAACUCCAGAACUGCCUUUGAAACUAGGUCGCUAGAAUCACGGAGAGGUGAGUGGAAUUCCGAGUGUAGAGGUGAAAUUCGUAGAUAUUCGGAAGAACACCAGUGGCGAAGGCGGCUCACUGGACGUGUAUUGACGCUGAGGUACGAAAGCGUGGGGAGCAAACAGGAUUAGAUACCCUUGUAGUCCCUGAGCGGGCUGGCAAGGCGCAU
rnacentral:rRNA from 1 species